rnacentral:rRNA from 1 species
CAAGGUGCUGCAUGUUGUCGUCAGCUCGUGCCGUGAGGUGUCGGGUUAAGUCCCAUAACGAGCGCAACCCCUAUCAUUAGUUGCCAUCAGGUCAAGCUGGGGACUCUAAUGAAACUGCCUACGCAAGUAGUGAGGAAGGUGGGGAUGACGUCAAGUCCUCAUGGCCUUUAUGACCAGGGCUACACACGUACUACAAUGGCCGAUACAAAGGGCAGCGACACUGCGAGGUGAAGCCAAUCCCGUAAAAUCGGUCUCAGUCCGGAUUGGAGUCUGCAACUCGACUCCAUGAAGUUGGAAUCGCUAGUAAUCGUGGAUCAGCAUGCCACGGUGAAUACGUUCCCGGGCCUU